ACGUAGGGUGCGAGCGUUGUCCGGAAUUAUUGGGCGUAAAGAGCUUGUAGGCGGUUUGUCGCGUCUGUCGUGAAAACCAGGGGCUUAACUCCUGGCGUGCGGUGGGUACGGGCAGGCUAGAGUGUGGUAGGGGAGACUGGAAUUCCUGGUGUAGCGGUGAAAUGCGCAGAUAUCAGGAGGAACACCGAUGGCGAAGGCAGGUCUCUGGGCCAUUACUGACGCUGAGAAGCGAAAGCAUGGGGAGCGAACAG
rnacentral:rRNA from 1 species